rnacentral:rRNA from 1 species
CCUACGGGGGGGCAGCAGGCGCGAAAACUUUACAAUGCUGGCAACCGCGAUAAGGGAACCUCGAGUGCCAGGUUACAACUCUGGCUGUCGAGAUGCCUAAAAAGCAUUUCAUAGCAAGGGCCGGGCAAGACCGGUGCCAGCCGCCGCGGUAACACCGGCGGCUCGAGUGGUAACCGUUAUUAUUGGGUCUAAAGGGUCUGUAGCCGGCCGGAUAAGUCUCUUGAGAAAUCUGGCAGCUUAACUGUCAGGCUUUCAGGAGAUACUGUCUGGCUCGAGGCCGGGAGAGGUGAGAGGUACUUCAGGGGUAGGGGUGAAAUCUUGUAAUCCUUGAAGGACCACCAGUGGCGAAGGCGUCUCACCAGAACGGACCUGACGGCAAGGGACGAAAGCUAGGGGCACGAACC